AAGCUCGUAGUUGAAUUUCGGGAUCAAUAUUUCGGUCAUGCCGUUGGUAUGCACUGUUAUCAUUGAUUUCUCACCUUCUAAAGAACCGUAAUGCCAUUAAUUUGGUGUUACGGGGAAUUAGGACUGUUACCUUGAAAAAAUUAGAGUGUUUAAAGCAGGCUCACGCUUGAAUACAUUGGCAUGGAAUAAUGAAAUAGGACAUCCGAUUCUAUUUUGUUGGUUUCUAGGAUCGAUGUAAUGAUUAAUAGGGAUAGUUGGGGGCAUUAGUAUUCAAUUGUCAGAGGUGAAACUCUUGGAUUUAUUGAAGACUAACUACUGCGAAAGCAUUUGCCAAGGAUGUUUUCAUUAAUCAAGAACGAAAGUUAGGGGAUCGAAGACGAUCAGAUACCGUCGUUGUCUUAACCAUAAACUAUGCCGACUAGGGAUCGGAUGAUGUUGAUUUUUUAAUGACUCAUUCGGCGCCUUACGGGAAACCAAAGUGUUUGGGUUCCGGGGGGAGUAUGGUCGCAAGGCUGAAACUUAAAGGAAUUGACGGAAGGGCACCACCAGGCGUGGAGCCUGCGGCUUAAUUUGACUCAACACGGGGAAACUUACCAGGUCCAGACAUAGCAAGGAUUGACAGACUGAGAGCUCUUUCUUGAUUCUAUGGGUG
rnacentral:rRNA from 1 species